rnacentral:rRNA from 1 species
GGGUUGUGAGGUUAAGCGACUAAGCGUACACGGUGGAUGCCCUGGCAGUCAGAGGCGAUGAAGGACGUGCUAAUCUGCGAAAAGCGUCGGUAAGGUGAUAUGAACCGUUACAGCCGGCGAUGUCCGAAUGGGGAAACCCAGUGCAAUUCGUUGCACUAUCGUUAACUGAAUACAUAGGUUAACGAGGCGAACCGGGGGAACUGAAACAUCUAAGUACCCCGAGGAAAAGAAAUCAACCGAGAUUCCCCCAGUAGCGGCGAGCGAACGGGGAGCAGCCCAGAGUCUGAAUCAGCUUGUGUGUUAGUGGAACGGUCUGGAAAGUCCGACGGUACAGGGUGAUAGUCCCGUACACCAAAAUGCACAGGCUGUGAACUCGAAGAGUAGGGCGGGACACGUGGUAUCCUGUCUGAAUAUGGGGGGACCAUCCUCCAAGGCUAAAUACUCCUGACUGACCGAUAGUGAACCAGUACCGUGAGGGAAAGGCGAAAAGAACCCCGGCGAGGGGAGUGAAAAAGAACCUGAAACCGUGUACGUACAAGCAGUGGGAGCACCUUCGGGUGUGACUGCGUACCUUUUGUAUAAUGGGUCAGCGACUUAUAUUCUGUAGCAAGGUUAACCGUAUAGGGGAGCCGCAGGGAAACCGAGUCUUAACUGGGCGUUAAGUUGCAGGGUAUAGACCCGAAACCCGGUGAUCUAGCCAUGGGCAGGUUGAAGGUUGGGUAACACUAACUGGAGGACCGAACCGACUAAUGUUGAAAAAUUAGCGGAUGACUUGUGGCUGGGGGUGAAAGGCCAAUCAAACCGGGAGAUAGCUGGUUCUCCCCGAAAGCUAUUUAGGUAGCGCCUCGUGAAUUCAUCUUCGGGGGUAGAGCACUGUUUCGGCUAGGGGGUCAUCCCGACUUACCAACCCGAUGCAAACUACGAAUACCGAAGAAUGUUAUCACGGGAGACACACGGCGGGUGCUAACGUCCGUCGUGAAGAGGGAAACAACCCAGACCGCCAGCUAAGGUCCCAAAGUCAUGGUUAAGUGGGAAACGAUGUGGGAAGGCACAGACAGCCAGGAUGUUGGCUUAGAAGCAGCCAUCAUUUAAAGAAAGCGUAAUAGCUCACUGGUCGAGUCGGCCUGCGCGGAAGAUGUAACGGGGCUAAACCAUGCACCGAAGCUGCGGCAGCGACACUAUGUGUUGUUGGGUAGGGGAGCGUUCUGUAAGCCUGCGAAGGUGUGCUGUGAGGCAUGCUGGAGGUAUCAGAAGUGCGAAUGCUGACAUAAGUAACGAUAAAGCGGGUGAAAAGCCCGCUCGCCGGAAGACCAAGGGUUCCUGUCCAACGUUAAUCGGGGCAGGGUGAGUCGACCCCUAAGGCGAGGCCGAAAGGCGUAGUCGAUGGGAAACAGGUUAAUAUUCCUGUACUUGGUGUUACUGCGAAGGGGGGACGGAGAAGGCUAUGUUAGCCGGGCGACGGUUGUCCCGGUUUAAGCAUGUAGGCUGGUUAUCCAGGCAAAUCCGGAUAAUCAAGGCUGAGGUGUGAUGACGAGGUACUACGGUGCUGAAGUAACAAAUGCCCUGCUUCCAGGAAAAGCCUCUAAGCAUCAGGUAACAUUAAAUCGUACCCCAAACCGACACAGGUGGUCAGGUAGAGAAUACCAAGGCGCUUGAGAGAACUCGGGUGAAGGAACUAGGCAAAAUGGUGCCGUAACUUCGGGAGAAGGCACGCUGGUGUGUAGGUGAAGUCCCUGCGGAUGGAGCUGAGACCAGUCGAAGAUACCAGCUGGCUGCAACUGUUUAUUAAAAACACAGCACUGUGCAAACACGAAAGUGGACGUAUACGGUGUGACGCCUGCCCGGUGCCGGAAGGUUAAUUGAUGGGGUUAUCCGUAAGGAGAAGCUCUUGAUCGAAGCCCCGGUAAACGGCGGCCGUAACUAUAACGGUCCUAAGGUAGCGAAAUUCCUUGUCGGGUAAGUUCCGACCUGCACGAAUGGCGUAAUGAUGGCCAGGCUGUCUCCACCCGAGACUCAGUGAAAUUGAACUCGCUGUGAAGAUGCAGUGUACCCGCGGCAAGACGGAAAGACCCCGUGAACCUUUACUAUAGCUUGACACUGAACAUUGAGCCUUGAUGUGUAGGAUAGGUGGGAGGCUUUGAAGCGUGGACGCCAGUCUGCGUGGAGCCAACCUUGAAAUACCACCCUUUAAUGUUUGAUGUUCUAACGUUGGCCCCUUACCGGGGUUGCGGACAGUGUCUGGUGGGUAGUUUGACUGGGGCGGUCUCCUCCCAAAGCGUAACGGAGGAGCACGAAGGUUAGCUAAUCCUGGUCGGACAUCAGGAGGUUAGUGCAAUGGCAUAAGCUAGCUUGACUGCGAGCGUGACGGCGCGAGCAGGUGCGAAAGCAGGUCAUAGUGAUCCGGUGGUUCUGAAUGGAAGGGCCAUCGCUCAACGGAUAAAAGGUACUCCGGGGAUAACAGGCUGAUACCGCCCAAGAGUUCAUAUCGACGGCGGUGUUUGGCACCUCGAUGUCGGCUCAUCACAUCCUGGGGCUGAAGUAGGUCCCAAGGGUAUGGCUGUUCGCCAUUUAAAGUGGUACGCGAGCUGGGUUUAGAACGUCGUGAGACAGUUCGGUCCCUAUCUGCCGUGGGCGCUGGAGAAUUGAGGGGGGCUGCUCCUAGUACGAGAGGACCGGAGUGGACGCAUCACUGGUGUUCGGGUUGUCAUGCCAAUGGCACUGCCCGGUAGCUAAAUGCGGAAGAGAUAAGUGCUGAAAGCAUCUAAGCACGAAACUUGCCCCGAGAUGAGUUCUCCCUGAGACUUUAAGUCUCCUGAAGGAACGUUAAAGACGAUGACGUUGAUAGGCCGGGUGUGUAAGCGCAGCGAUGCGUUGAGCUAACCGGUACUAAUGAACCGUGAGGCUUAACCUUACAACGCCGAAG